rnacentral:tRNA from 1 species
UCCAGGAUAGACUAGUGGACAUGGCACCUGCCCGGUAAGCAGAAGGUUGUGGGUUCGAUUCACGCUCCUGGAC